rfam:Edwardsiella ictaluri 93-146, complete genome.
CAGUGCAUUGGUAGCUGUAGAGCCAAGGGCGGUAGCGUA